UCUGGUGUCAGCCGCCGCGGUAAAACCAGCACCUCAAGUGGUCAGGAUGAUUAUUGGGCCUAAAGCAUCCGUAGCCGGCUCUGUUAGUUUUCGGUUAAAUCUGUACGCUCAACGUACAGGCUGCCGGGGAUACUGCAGAGCUAGGGAGUGGGAGAGGUAGACGGUACUCGGUAGGAAGGGGUAAAAUCCUUUGAUCUAUUGAUGACCACCUGUGGCGAAGGCGGUCUACCAGAACACGUCCGACGGUGAGGGAUGAAAGCUGGGGGAGCAAACCGGAUUAGAUACCCGGGUAGUCCCAGCUGUAAACUAUGCAAACUCAGUGAUGCAUUGGCUUGUGGCCAAUGCAGUGCUGCAGGGAAGCCGUUAAGUUUGCCGCCUGGGAAGUACGUACGCAAGUAUGAAACUUAAAGGAAUUGGCGGGGGAGCACCACAAGGGGUGAAGCCUGCGGUUCAAUUGGAGUCAACGCCAGAAAUCUUACCCGGAGAGACAGCAGAAUGAAGGUCAAGCUGAAGACUUUACCAGACAAGCU
rnacentral:rRNA from 2 species